UUGGAUGAUGAUUUACCACAAUCACGACGGUCUACUGUGCCCCGAAAGGGCCUUGAUGAUAAUCUGCCUGUGACUAGGCGUGGAGCUGAUA
rfam:Yarrowia lipolytica strain CLIB122 chromosome A complete sequence.